rnacentral:ribozyme from 1 species
CCAAAACUAAAGAAACAAAGAAAAAAAAGAAAAAACCAAGGAACAAGCAGAUUAAAAUGAGUAUAGUGUUAUUUUUUUCAGUUUUCUUUAUU